ACUCCUACGGGAGGCAGCAGUGGGGAAUAUUGCACAAUGGGCGCAAGCCUGAUGCAGCCAUGCCGCGUGUGUGAAGAAGGCCUUCGGGUUGUAAAGCACUUUCAGUCGUGAGGAAGGUAGUGUAGUUAAUAGCUGCAUUAUUUGACGUUAGCGGCAGAGAAGACACCGCGUAACUCCGUGCCAGCAGCCGCGGUAAUACGGAGGGUGCGAGCGUUAAUCGGAAUUACUGGGCGUAAAGCGCAUGCAGGUGGUUUGUUAAGUCAGAUGUGAAAGCCCGGGGCUCAACCUCGGAAUUGCAUUUGAAACUGGCAGACUAGAGUACUGUAGAGGGGGGUAGAAUUUCAGGUGUAGCGGUGAAAUGCGUAGAGAUCUGAAGGAAUACCGGUGGCGAAGGCGGCCCCCUGGACAGAUACUGACACUCAGAUGCGAAAGCGUGGGGAGCAAACAGGAUUAGAUACCCUGGUAGCUACGAGU
rnacentral:rRNA from 1 species